UACGGGGGGGGGCAAGCGUUAAUCGGAAUUACUGGGCGUAAAGCGUGCGCAGGCGGUUAUGUAAGACAGGUGUGAAAUCCCCGGGCUUAACCUGGGAAUUGCGAUGGAGACUGCAAGGCUAGAAUCUGGCAGAGGGGGGUAGAAUUCCACGUGUAGCAAUGAAAUGCGUAGAUAUGCGGAGGAACACCGAUGGCGAAGGCAAUCCCUGGCCUGCACUGACGCUCAUGCACGAAAGCGUGGGGAGCAAACAGG
rnacentral:rRNA from 1 species